ACCUCGGUGGUGUAGUGGUACCAAGUGUCCCCGGCAUGGAUGAAACGCGGCUUCAACUCCCGUCCGAGGUC